ACGGGUGAGUAAUGUCUGGGAAACUGCCCGAUGGAGGGGGAUAACUACUGGAAACGGUAGCUAAUACCGCAUAACGUCGCGAGACCAAAGUGGGGGACCUUCGGGCCUCACACCAUCGGAUGUGCCCAGAUGGGAUUAGCUAGUAGGUGGGGUAACGGCUCACCUAGGCGACGAUCCCUAGCUGGUCUGAGAGGGUGACCAGCCACACUGGAACUGAGACACGGUCCAGACUCCUACGGGAGGCAGCAGUGGGGAAUAUUGCACAAUGGGCGCAAGCCUGAUGCAGCCAUACCGCGUGUAUGAAGAAGGCCUUCGGGUUGUAAAGUACUUUCAGCGGGGAGGAAGGCGACGCGGUUAAUAACCGGGUCGAUUGACGUUACCCGCAGAAGAAGCACCGGCUAACUCCGUGCCAGCAGCCGCGGUAAUACGGAGGGUGCAAGCGUUAAUCGGAAUUACUGGGCGUAAAGCGCACGCAGGCGGUCUGUCAAGUCGGAUGUGAAAUCCCCGGGCUUAACCUGGGAACUGCAUUCGAAACUGGCAGGCUAGAGUCUUGUAGAGGGGGGUAGAAUUCCAGGUGUA
rnacentral:rRNA from 1 species